UCCUAUGUGGCUAAAGCUCACUCUUUACUAAAUGAUACUAAAUAUAUGUAAUAAUACAUUUUUUUCCUUUUUCAAAAUUCCCUCAUAUACCCUCUCAUACUCAGAAACCCAAUGGACAGAUAACGGGAGAAAUUGAUACAGAUUCUAAGUUUCACUGUUAUAAAAUUAAAAGAUUCGGAAUUCAAAGAGCUCAUGAGAACACUAGACCCUGGGGGCACUGGAGUGGUCAAAGUCAGCUCCUUUAUUGACCUGCUUGAAGCGAGCCCUAAGAUGAGAAAAACAUCCCCCUGUACAGGCACUAAGACAUCUCUCCUCUUGGCAUGGGGCUCAGUAAGUAGCGCUUGGUUUUCUCUUUGCGAUGCCUUCCUAUACCAUCCAAGAGUGCCAGCACACUGGGCACAUGCGUACAGCUCAGUAACUGUGUAUUUCUUACGGUAGAUGGAAGAAAUGGUUCAUGAUGCAAUCGCUAAGAAUCUACACGCUUUUUAUAACAUACUGCAAUCAUAUGACCUUGGAGACACGGGGUUCAUUGCUCGGAAUAAUUUCAAGAAAGUCAUGCGCAUAUUCUGCCCAUUUUUAACAAAUGAACAGUUAAUAAAACUCUGCUGUAAGUUUCAGGAUAUGACUUCAGAAAAAAUCCUUUACAAGAAAUUUUUGGCAUGCAUCAGAAUUAAUGCCCCCCCCCACAGUCUCUCCGAUUCUUGUUCCAAAGGAUCAGCCAAGUGAACGUUUUCAAAAAGGAGAAGAGCAGCAGCCGGCCCUCUCUGAGAGAACCGAGCUCACCAGUGACAGGACUGCCACGACCAAGAACAUGAGUAAAGAUGAAGUCAUUGAAAAACUGAAAAGUUGUGUAAAGCGGCAGGACCCAGCGUUCAGAAAGCACUUCCUGGAUGUGAGCAAGGACCUUCGUGGGAAGAUCAGCAUGCACGACUUCAAGAAGGUACUGGAGGACAACGGGUUGCCCAUGGAUGAGGUGCAGUACACUCUGCUGGCUACAAAAAUCGGUUAUAAGAAGGAGGGGAUGAGCUAUCUGGACUUUGUGACAGGAUUCGAAGAUACUAAAACGAAUGGCCCGGUUGCAACUCCACCUCAGACUCUGGUUUCUUCAAAAAGUCACUUGAAUGGCCACUUUAUAACUGCUGAAGAAUGCCUGAAACUUUUCCCCAAGAGACUGAAGGAGUCAUUCCAGUUGGAAGCCAAAGGCUCUAUCUCAGCCCUCGAUCAGACGUACAGACCACGGCAAGGUUGUGUGGGUCCCUCGCACCCUGGCAGCUGCUAAAAUGCCAAGGAAGCAGGGACAGAGACC
rnacentral:lncRNA from 1 species